rnacentral:tRNA from 1 species
GGAGGGAUGACCGAGCGGACGAAGGUGACGGUCUUGAAAACCGUUGGGCCCUGAAGGGCCCCGUGGGUUCGAAUCCCACUCCCUCCG